UCUCUCUGAAUCUGCGUACGGCUCCGCAAACCAGUUGUAAACCGAGGCAAGCAAGCCCGGUCUCGACGCCUUUCGGGGCUAGGGGCCGGGCUACAAGGAUAACCCUGGUAAUUCUGAGGCUAAUACUUGACACCUAACCUGUCGACUGGGUCUCGGCCCGGGAAGCGGGGGAUGUGCGACUAUCGGGCCAACAAAACCGGAAAGAGCGCACGUUCAGACCACUUAAAAGGCUACGGGGUCCCUCGGGAUCUCGGAGCUGUGGCUCUUGCAGCGUGCUUCUGACCUAUCAACUAGACGGCAGCCUAAGGGACAUGCUUUGGUGACAACGGGUACAGAGGAUAAGGGUUCGAUCCUGGAGAGUGGGCCUGAGAGAUG
rnacentral:rRNA from 1 species